GACUACUGGGGUAUCUAAUCCUGUUUGCUCCCCACGCUUUCGUACCUCAGUGUCAGUUACAGUCCAGAAAGCCGCCUUCGCCACUGGUGUUCCUCCUAAUAUCUAUGCAUUUCACCGCUACACUAGGAAUUCCGCUUUCCUCUCCUGUACUCAAGUCUUCCAGUUCACAGGGCGAACGACAGUUGAGCCAUCGCCUUAAACCCUGCGCUUAAAAAACCACCUACGUACUCUUUACGCCCAAUAAUUCCGGAUAACGCUCGCCCCCUACGUAUUACCGCGGCUGCUGGCACGUAGUUAGCCGGGACUUCCUCCAGGGGUACCGUCAUUUUUUUCUUCCCCAAGGACAGAAGUUUACGACCCAAAGGCCUUCAUCCUUCACGCGGCGUUGCUGCAUCAGGCUUUCGCCCAUUGUGCAAUAUUCCCCACUGCAGCCUCCCGUAGG
rnacentral:rRNA from 1 species